GGGGGAUAUAACUAUAAAUAGGACAAUUACAAUAAAACUUACAGGAACAAUAGGUUGAAAAGGACCCUGCUCAAACGAGCUUACAGUCUAUAAGAGGUGGGGUAUAAGACACGUUAGGACAGGAAAUAUCAAUCAAUUAGGGUGGGAGUGAAGCAGAGCUGGAGGAGAGAGUAAAGCACUGCCCUAUAGGAGAGAGCAAGAGACAGGUAUUUAAGGUAGUGGUUACUCUGGGAGGCCAUAAGCUUUCCUAAAGGGAUUGGUUUUAUGGCACUUCUUAAAGGAUUAAUAAAGAAGUUAU